rnacentral:lncRNA from 1 species
GUGAUUUUUAACUAUAUGUGAGGAUCUGGGGCUUUGGAAAUAGGUAGCUGUCUUGUCUAAUCCAGGACAACUGGCUGGCUUAUCUAGGUAUAUUCAGGCCUUUCCAUAUUUUGUCCAAACAAAGUAACAUGCUUGAUUGUGAUGUCACUCAUUUAUUUUCUGUAUGUGUGUGUUUGUUUCUUUCACAAUUUAUUUUAAUCUUAAUUUUUUGUGGUCAGGACACAAAGAGUCUUCUAAAACAUGGAUGUCCCUGAAAUCCAGGGCUGGAGACUGAGGCCUUAUCCGCCCAGGUCUAAAGGCGGCAUUGCUUCUGGAACUUUAUGAAGGCCACAGAGCCAGGGUGUGAAGCCAUGCUGUGAGGAUCCUCACCCAAAUACACUGCAGCAGUUUUACUGCUCCCUCCCGUAAAAACUUCUUUUCCCCUUGGCACCAACAGUGCUUGAUUUAAACGCCAGAAGUCUUGCCACAUUCGCUGUCAGAGAGCCAGGCCCCGCUCUACGUGUCAGGGGAUCGGACUCUGUGCGGACCUCUUUCUCAUGUUUCUCAGCCCUCAAACCAUGUCUCCAGCAGGUGUGUUUUGAUGGGUAGAAUCCAAGAUACUCCCGCAGCUGCAAGAGAGUCUGGGAAUACAAGUUUUGUUUUGUUUUAUGUCGUGUUUUGUUUUGUUUUAUAUGUUUGUUUUUGAAUUCUAUCUUGGAAAGGUAGGGCUUCCUACACAAAUGUAGCGAGGGUUUUCAGUGAGGUAGCCACCACUGACAGAGGUCCAAUGCAGCAGCUUUUUGACAUUUUAAUUUUUUUAAUUUUUAUUUAUUUGAGAGAGAGAAAGAGAGCUAGCAUGAGCAGGGGAGGGACAGAGGGAGAGGGAGACACAGAAUCCGAAGCAGGCUCUAGGCUCUGAGCCGUCAGCGCAGAACCCGACGCGGGGCUCAAACUCCCAAACCGCAAGAUCAUGACCUGAGCCGAAGUUGGAUGCUUAACCGACUGAGCCACUCAGGCACCCCAGCUUUUUAGCAAUUUAAAUAUGAGAGUGACGUGACUUAUGUUUUAAAAUCAUAAAGACACUCUGACUUCUGAUUGAAUUCUGUAUUGGAAGGUGGCAAGAGUGACAACAGGUGACAUCAUUUGUGCAGGAGGUAGGAGAGGUGAAGGCCAUCUGGACCAGGGUGUGGCCUCAGGGUUGGAGAGAGGUCGGCGGAUUCAGGGCCAGUACACCAGUGCCGACCACUGCAGAUGGGAUGCCCUAGAGGAGGGGAGCUGCAAACAAGUUGUUGCUCACUUCAUUUCACUGCAUUGUUUUCUAUAUUAUCAUACAGAGAUACUGUCCCUCUUAUCAUAAGUGUUCCACUCCCGAGAAGAUGUCUAGGAAAACCACAGAAGUCCCUCAGUUAUCAAAUUGGCCAUCUAAUAUUGCCUAAGAUAUUAAAUGCCAAAAAGGAGGGUGUAGCCCUUGACCUUUUUUUAAAUUCUAAUGUGGUUUUCAUAGUCCUGAUCAUGGAUGAUAGCUACAUUAGAUGGAGUGUCUACACAAAGCAGGUUAGCAAUAUAUUAACAUUUUUAUUUUUAUUUUUUUAUAUUUUUUACUUGCUAAAAUUGCAGCAAGCAUCCAGGUCAAAGUGCAGGGCUCUCUAUUUAAGGUGGUUCUUAUCUCCUUAAGAAGCUAAGACUCUCCUGGCUGGCUCAGUCAGUAGAGCAUGUGACUCCUGAUCUCAGGGUUGUGAGUUUGAGCCCCACAAUGGGUGUAGAAAUCACUUAAAAAUAAAGUCUUAAAAAAGAAAAAAGUUAAGAGGCUGGAAUCCACAAACUAAAAUCUGAUGUGAAUGUUGCAAAUUUGAGCUACCAGGAAGUGCUUUUAAAAGGAAUUUCCUGAAGAUUGUAAAACAGAUAUUAGCAAUUCUUUUAUUACUAACCUGAAGAUAAAUCUGUAUAAUCUGAUCCAGUCAUAGCUAAGAGGAAUAUAGAGUUUUCAAGAAGGUUUGAGAGAUUGAAAACCCUCCGUAAGGAAGAGGAAUUGUGUUAGGAGGUUUGAUUAGGAAUGGUAGGGGAAACUGAGUGAGGGGAAAAUUUGAGGUUAACAUCAAAGAAAAUUUCCUUCAGUAAGAGUCAUUUGGUGGUAAAAGUCCAAACCUUGGAGUCUCUCCAAACAGGUUUGGUCAUCACACUCUUGUAAGACAGCCGGAUUUUGACCUUGCCAGUCCCUGGUCCAUGCAGGGAGGAGGUCCUUUGCCUCCAAGGCUAUCUUUGUUCAGUUGCCAUGAUUAGAUGUGACAUGAAUUUCAGAAGACAUCUAGAGGAAUUGCACAGAGCACCCGGAAAUGUGAAGACACCUCUCAUGCCUCUGCUGUUGUUUGACAGUAGAGGUGGAACAGAAAGUGGCCAGUGAUCACCCACUGGAACAAGCCCUUUAUCAUAACAACAACCUAUUUUGAAAGAAAUUAUUUACAUUAUGAUCAUAAUUUAUUGAUAUAAGACAUAACUUCAUUCUAAGCAGUGGCUGGCUGACUGGUGGAAUGUCUUCAUUAACCAUGAUAUGGGUGUCCCCUCUGAUUUACGUUGAGUGAGGUUCAUAAUUUGCCAUACAAAAAAUAAUUUGACACAUUAGGAAAGGAAGGCUACAUUUUAAACAGUAUGUUUAAAUGUUUAUAUUUCAUGUCUUGACAUUUUAUAUCUAAUUCUAGGAACUUUGUAGUUCUUGUGUGUUUUGGCUUUUGUGGUUAUAUUCCACGAAAAAAACCUAAAACUUUGCAAACAAACUAUGUGAAUGAAUCUAUUUUUCUUUCUCACUUUUUUUUUUAACUUUUGGAAAGAUGGAAAUAGAUGUAGGAGGAUAGGUCAGGGAAAAUCUGUCUCUGGUUUUCAUGAGAUCCAGAAUACUUGGAAAAAUAGGGGUACUUAUGCCAGUGAUCACCUGUGCACUAAAAUCUACAUGCAUUGGUGAGAAAAAGAACAGAAGACCCAGUGAAAGGGGAGACAUACUGUGUCCAUAGGUCACAGUGAUUGAGAAAACUCAAGGUUAUUCAGAUGCCACUUCUCCCCAGAUUGAUCCAUAGAUCAUGAUCACAAUUAAAAUCACAGUGGGCUCAUUUUUUUAAUAGAAAUUGAAGUACAGAUUUUAAAUUUGAUAUGGAAAUUCAUAGGUUCCAGAACAUCCACAAUGUCUUUGGAAAAAAAAAAAAGGACCAAGUUAUAGAACUAACACUAUUUGAUUUCAAAACAUCUACAGUAAUUCAAGCAGUAUGAUAUUGGUGUAAAGCAGGAAUAAGAAAACCUUUUAUGUGAAAAGUCAAAUAGUAAAUAUUUUAGGCUCUGUGGGCUAUCCUGUAUCUGUCACAGCUCCUCAGCUCUGCUGCUGUAGUAUGGAUACAGCCAUACACAAUACAUAAAGAAUCAGUGUGGCUGUGUUUCAACAAACCUUUAGUUAAAGACUCUGAAAUUUAAAUUUAUAUAAAAGUUACAUGUUAUGAAAAACCAUUUGAUUUUUUCAACGAUUUUAAGAUAUAAGAGCCACUAAUAGCUUGUGGAUGUAUAUAAAUAGGUAGUGGACCAAAAUUGACCUGUGGGCCAUUGUUUGCUGGCCCCCAGUGAAAAGUAGACAAAAAGAUCAAAGGAAUGAAAUGGUCAAGAAAGACCUAUGUAUAUAUGAGCAACUAAUUUUUGACAAAGAUACAUAGGGAAAAGCACAAAUGGUGAUUCAAUAUCCAUAUGCAGAAAGAACGUUUAUCCAUACCCCACGCAUAUACAAAUAUUAACCCCAAGUAAGUAAUGUGAAACCUAAAACUAUAAAACUUGUAGAAGAAAAUAUUUUGUGACCUUAGUUUAGAAAAGGAUUUCUUCACAGAAUAGUAAAAGUAUGAUACAUUAAAAAAUGGAUAAAUUGGACUUUAUUAAAACAAUAUCAACAAAAGACCCUUGAUCUCUAGAAGACAGUAUUAUUAGAAUUGAAUAUCAGUAGAUAAAAAUAAACAAUGUGGUAUAACCAUACAAUGGACCAAUAAAAAGGAAUGAACUAUUGAUGCAUGCUACAACAUGGAUGAAUCUCAAAAUAAGAGUGCUAAGUUAAAGAAGCCAGACAAAAAGAGUAUAGACUGUGUGAUUUUUUAAAAUGUAAACUAGUCUGUAGUGAUAGAAAUCAGAUGCGUGGUUUCUGGGGGAUUGGGGUGGGUGUGGGUAGGGGCAGCAGGAAAGGAUUAUGAAAGAGCAUGAAGACACUUUUUAGAAUAGUGUUUAUGUUCAUUAUUUUGACCAUGGCUGUGGUUUUCCAGAAGAAUAUAGAUGUCAAAACUUAUUGAAUACUAUACUUUUAAAGUGUGUAGUUAAUUUUAGAUCAAUUAUAUCUCACAAUAAAAAGAUUAUAAAAAUAGAAACAUACCUACAGGUAGUCUAGUUAUUGUAGUGAUUAGACAAAGGCAUUUUAAAGAUCUGAUUAAUGUAUUUAAGAAAACAGAUGACAUGAUGGAGAUUUGCAUUGGAUAAAUGGAAUAUAUUAAAAAGCAUGGAAUAGAAAUCUAAAAACAGAUUAAUACAAUUCUAAAAUUAGUCGGGCUUCACAGAAGAGGAGACAAAUCAAAGAGAGGAUUAAUUAACUGGAACAUAGUGUAUACAUUGGUUAUGUAGUGCAUAACAAGGAAACACAGUCACGUAAAACCUUCAUUUUGUUCAUUGAGCUGCAGCUCAUCUGAGGUGUCUCUGCUUUGGGUUGCAGUCUCUGAGGGUGAUCUGGUUCAAGAUGCAGAAUGAGGUUUGCCAGUGCUCUGAACUCCGUAUGCUCAGGUUGAGCGGAGAGCAGCUUUAUGCCAUGGAAUUUUAAAAUUUAGACUAAGCAGGUGGUUUCUUUCAGCAACACAAUUACCAACUUCCCAAAACUGACACAAGAAGAAAUAAAAAAUAUGAGUAAUACUAGAUCCAUUGUAGAAAUUGAACCUGCUAUUGAGACUUAGUCUUGCCCAAAGAUCCACAUUCACAUGACUUCUGGGUGAAGUCUACGAGUUGUUUAAAGAAGAAAUAAAAUCAACCUUACAUCAAUUCUUUAGCAAUCGAAAAACAAAUGGAAAUGGAACAUUUUUCUGUGCAUUCUGAGGCCGACAUAAAUUUGGUGCCAAAAUUGCAGACCAGUUUCUUUAUUGGACUUUGACACAAAACUCCUAAAAAAAACUAUUAGCAAGUUGAAUUGAAUAAUAUAUAAAAAGGAAAAUACAUCACAACUAACGUGGGUUUAUCUCAAGAAAGCAAUGUUGGUUUAACAAUUGAAAAAUCAAUCAAUGUAAGUCACCGCAUUAAGAGAACAAAUGAGAAAAAUCAUAUGAUCACUUUAAUAGAUGCAGAGAGAGCAUUAGAAAAAAAUCCAACAGCCUUUCAUGAUAAUAAAAGAACAUUUCCUUACUCUAGUAAAGAGUCGCUACAAAACAGCUACAUAAAUCUUCAUAUGCAAUGGUGAAAUAUUGCAAGAUUUCCACCAACAUUGGGAAUGAAACAAAGAGGUCCGCUCUCACUAAUUCUAUUCACCAUUGUGCUAGAGGACCUAGUCAGUGCAACAAGGCAAGAAAGAAAUAAAAGUCAUAAUAAUUAGAAAGUAAGAAGUAAAACUGCCAUUAUUCACAGGUAGCAUGGUUUUGCAUGUAAAAAAUCUGAAAGAACGAAAGACAACUUAUUAGAAUUAAUAAGUGAAUAUAGCAAAAAUCAAUUGAGUUUUACGUGCAAUAUAAUAAACCUUCACAGCUCAUAAAGUUCUGAAUGAUAAAUGUAUGUGUGGUUACUGUACAGAAGUGUUGGAUUCAGAUGCCAGUGAUCUCUGAGGUUAAAGUUUUCUUGCAUGUAUUUGUGAAGGACCUUAAAUUAUCAAAUUGCAAGCAGAUGGCAACAAACCAUUAGAAAUUAAAAUGUAAGAGUGAUGCCACUUAACAUAGCAUCAUCAAAUGAUCAGUUACUUAGCAGUAAAUCUGAUUAAAUAUUUGCAAGACCUCUAUGAGGAAUGCUCUAAAAUAUUACCGAGUAGCCAAGAAAAUCAUGAAUUUGGAAGAUUUAUAUGAUCAGAUAUCAAAGUUAUUGUGCUUACCAUUAUACUUCUUAUAAAACAAAGGGGAAUGAGGAGAGUAACUGUCUUUUCAAUAAAUGGUACUGAAUCACUUGGAUAUCCAUCCAUCCAGGGGGGGAAAAAGAAUCUUGGUUCCUAUAACACACCAUAUGCAAAAAUCAAUUCCAGGUGGCUUGUGGACUUAAAUGUGAAAGGUAAAGUGAACAUAGGGGAAUUUCUUCAUGACCUUGUGGUGGGUAGGCAAAAAUUAAUUAAAAGUAUUUGGGGCUGAGCUUUACACAACCAGAAACAAACUCCAAAGUGUGAAACCCGCUAUAAAGUGCGAUACCUGAUCAUCUCACUUCAGGCCCCUGCAUCUUGAUUUUAAAUAGUCUGUGGGAGUCCACUUUUAUAGUGGACUCUGUAAUAGUAGAGACUCCACAAUGUCUCUCUAACAAUAUCUAAGAUAUUGGGGGGACUUUAUAAAGACACUAAAAGGAAAAACUGAGAAUGAGUGUGGAGACCCUGAACUGUAUUUGCUUUACUAUGUAGUAAAUGUAAGAAUAAAUGCAUACGACAAACUAUAAACAAUAUACAAGGGUUAUGAUAUUUAUUUCCAAGCCGAUCUCCAAGGAUUUAAUGAAAACUGCAGCCAGCUGAAGCUGUGGACUUUUCUGUCUUUGUUACUCUGGUUCAGAUUUCUCCUCUUUUAUCGCUUAGAUCCUGCUAAUGUUUUGGAUGCCACGCGAGGCUGAAGGGAUUGGUAAUGCUUACCGAUACAACCACUCUGCCGAAGUGAUAGAAAGUGAUAGGAACAUGGACCGUGGAGUCAGCUUCCUCUGGAAUCCCACUAUGGGCUUACUAACUACCUAAGCUUGGGCGAUAACAUUCUAUCUCUCUGAGCCUGUUUCCCCGGUUGAGGAAAAAGGUGAGCUGUUCAUAAGGCAGUUAGGAAGACUGAAUGCAGAGAUGGUGAUUUUUCACUUAUUGUUAACAAGACACUUGCCUGCCUUUUGUAAGGAAUUCUUAGUCUUUGAAACAGCAAGGGCUCAACAUUUAGAUUUCAAAUAAAAGUCCUUAUCCAUAGAUUUUUAAAGAGACAUUUGAUCUUGUUAAGUAUGUUCUACAAAUACCAUGCUAUCAGUUUCUCGAAGGUACUUUCUUUCCCUUUCCCUUGGUAUGCAUAGGUUUUGGUUUCUUCCCCCCCCACCCCCGGAAUAUGUCCGCUCCAUGGUACAAAGAAGAGGGUUUAUAUGUGAUCCAGAGGUUUGUUUUGUUUUGGUUGUUGUUGUGUUGUUUCGUUUCAUUUUGUUUUUAUUGAGAAGGCCAAGUCCUACGUUGGCUCUAAAGUAAAAGUGGGCUCUCCAUUGUGCAGAGUGAUGAGUCCCAUGAUACUUUGACACGACUCCCUCACUGCUGCAGGAGUCCACGUUUUACUGUUUAAAAACAUAUGGCACAAAUUAUGCCAUAAGCCAAAGUUCCUCAUAAGCAGAACCUUGCCUUUCUUUAUGGGACUCUGUUGCAGGUCCUCCUUGUUUUACCUGUGGACACGAGUGUACAUUGCAGCUGUUGAAAUCUUUCCUUCUUAGCUAUUCCAUGGAUACCAACGCAUGCCUUUUCAUUGGAUGCCGUGCUGUUGAAGAAUAGGGUAUUUUUUAUUUACAAAUGUGAAACCCUGCAGCCAGGCAUAUCUCUUUUACAAUGCAGUGAACCUUCCAAGCCCUUGUCUUAGUCUCUUGGAACCAAACAAAUUACAUGCCAUCGUGUGCUGUAUAUCACAGCUGGAAUGUUUAGAACGUCUGGCUGAGUGGAGUUUGGGAAUGGGCUUCUCCGGUGAGCUGGAGCAGAUUGUGUCUUUGACUGACAAGCUGCCAUUUUCUUGAGAUUUGACAAUUUGGGGUCCUUCACCUACCCAUGCAAAAAAACCCUAACCUCAGAGAGCUUUGGCAUUUGACCCCAAUAUUUUUAUACAGUAACCAUACAUACAUUUAUCACUCGGAGCUUUAUGAACAGUGAAGGUUUAUUACACUGCACUCAAACCUCAUUUAACCUUUUCUCUUGAAGCAAUACUUUAAAACAGAGUUGAAAGAGUUUGUACAACCAAGACUGGUUGUUGACCUUUUUGUGUGCUUCUGUUCCUGAGAACUCUUUGGUGCGGAUGUUUUUGGUCAGUAAAAGUUUUCUGUAACCUUGAGGAGCCUUACCCUUCUGUCUAAAUAUGUUCUUGAGAGGCCUCUUGGUCCUUGGAGGCUUUGGGGUUGACAGAGAUUCUAACAUUUUUUUAAAAAAAAAUUGUUUUUGACAGAGAGAGAGACAGAGCAUGAGCCAGGGAAGGGCAGAGAUAGAGGGAGACACAGAAUCUGAAGCAGGCUCCAGGCUCCGAGCUGUCAGCACAGAGCCCAAUGCAGGGCUUGAACCCACGAACCAUGAGAUUGUGACCUGAGCCCAAGUUGCACGCUCAACUGACUGAGCCACCCAGGUGUCCCAAUGAGAGAUUUUAUAAUAGGAAACUCAGAAUUGGUCAUUGGUAGAAGUGACCAGAUCUGUCCCUCAUGUAUACCCCUGUCACUUCUGUCUCUGAGCAUUUUGCUUAUGUUUUUCCCCUUUUCCAGUCCACAUGUCAGCCAUAACAUAAGGACCACUUCUUGCCUUGUCAUAGAAACUAUGAUUUCUUCCCUUUCUGUUCUGGCCCUCAUGAAACUCCAUUCCCUAAAAAUCUGUUCCUACCUGAACCAUAAAAUUUAACAUUUUAUUACCAUAUACUAUUUUGGAAUAUUUUUUAAAAUUUUGAUUUGUAUAAUGUUGCUUUCUCAACUUGCUUGAAAGUGUUCCAAGGACUAGAAUUGUAUGCUGUACUUCUGAAACUCCAUACAAACCUACCACUAUGCCUAGCACAUUAGUAGGAAUAUGCCAUAGAUUACAUCGACACAUUUGACCUAGUGUUUUAUGAAAGAUAAGUGUUUACAUCUGAGGAAAAUUUGUCCUUAAUAAGCAGGCAAUAAUUAAGAAUGGGCCAGAAUUUCCUGCCGUGGGUGUCCAGAAGGUUUACAUGGUAUUUAUUGCUUGGGAAUGGGCCUAUUUGGUAUCUGAAAAGGGCUACCGUGUUACUUCUUGGGUCUAGACAGAAAACUUUGAACCCUCUGUUCUAUUUCCUCUGUGUUCCAAUAUUAGUAAAUGCACAGGGUCUGCCUGCAGCUUUGAGUUGCACAAGGAGAGGUUUUAAGCUCAGUGCGAAAGAGGACCAUGUCUGCAUAGAAAGAGUGGAUGGAAGCACGUGUGCUGCUUCAUUCAUUUGCCAUUGCUGCUGUGUAUAUCUCAAAAGCAGGCCUGAGAGCUGAUGCUCAGGUUGCUGUCGGUAUUACUUCUGGAUCUGCCUCUUGGGUCUACCAAGAAUAAUAGCCUUUCCCUUUCACUAGGGAAAUGGAAGACACAGAUUCUAAUUUCAAGUAGGUCUGUAGACACUCAGCAAUGACAGAUUUGAUCACUUUGAUUUCUCUUUUUAAGUUUACUCAACCAAAUCACUGUUUUCCUUUCUGUCCUUGCUUCCAAUAUGAACCUUCAAAGCAUUUCCACCACUUAUAACUCUGCAUGGGACUUACCAUAACCAUGCGCAUUGUUCUUCUAGUGGUUUUGGGGAAAGGUCAGGCAGAUGACACCAAGCAGAGCUGCCAAAUGCUUUAACCAGCUGAUAGAUCCGGGCUAUAAUACCAGGAAGCAUAUCUCUGAGCCCCAACAACUUUUUAUUUAUGUGACAUUUACUUGGUGCCUAACACUUAUCAGAUACUAUUCAAAGUGCUUUAUAGAUAUCAACAUAGUUAAUUCUCAUAACAGCUCCAUGAGGGAGGUACUAUAAUAACCCCCAUUCAAAAGAUGAGGAAACCGAAGCGCAGAGAAGUUACAACUGUUUUGCCUAAGGUCACAUAGUCAGUAAAUGGCAGAGCUGGGAUGUGAGUCAAAGCAAACCUAAUUCCAGAGACCAUGCCUUCAGCCAUUUUGCCUCCUCAUUCCUUGUGUUCUGUGUAUUUUAUUUCUUUUUGUUUAACAGAUAUUUAUUAAAUGCCUUAUGCCCAAACAUUAUGUAAAACAACUGUGGGAAUAAAGAGAAGAGGGGACCCAGCUGUUUACUAUGAAGGACACGAGCACUCAAUGGGGGGGGUGGUGAAGAAUAUGUCAAGCUCUGCACAGCAUAUUGAGGUGUUCUUUCUGCCUCGAGGACAUCUGAUUCUUCAUUGAUGAGAGGAGAACAGCUCCUCUGUUGGGAGGGUUGACGUCUCAUUUUACAAGGAGAGCCAAGUUGUUGAAGGACUUGUCCAUUAGGAGACCUUUCAUAUGGGUUGUGUGGGAGUGAAAAAUAGAACUGCUAGUCAUUCAUUUAAUAAACAUUUAUUGAACAUUAGUAAGGGCAAGGCAUGAUAUUAAGAAAUACUAGAACAUACUAGUGGUUUCUUUUAAGUGUAAAAACUAUAAAAGUUCAGUUUGGACUACAUGGGGAAAAGUGUAAAAAUUAAUGCAAAUUUGCAAAUUUCAUGUUUGAUUAAUGCAGUGCUAGCCCUAAUCUUACAAGGAAGGGCAACAAGAGAAACAGAAAGGAGGAAGAAAACAAAGGACCGGACAUAUGCCAGUAGAACAUUUCAGUUACCAGGGCCCAUGGCUCCUUACUCUCUCUGUCCAAGGAUUCUCAACGUGGGUACCCCUGCUUGGCAUUUUUAAAAUCCAUAGGCAGCAUGAACUUGGCCAAUAUUCCAGCCCCAUAGGAAUACUAAAUGUACCCCAUUUCAUUUAUAGGAAAGAAGCAAAUUAAGACAGAGCACUUUUGUGUAAACCAUAAACUGCAUUUAACAAGGCAGGAGGCUUGGGAAUCCAUGCUCAGGCUGCUUGUUUUUCCUGGCACCUUGUUAAACAUGGUUGAAAGUUUACAUGCUGGGGAGCAGCCCACUUUCUCUUUGUUCCUGGGAAUGGCUCUGACUGAUCUGGGAGACCCCAGUGGAUGGGGUGCAAUCUUAGAUGCCGGUGCUGGAAUAGAACAGUGGGGCCUAAACUGCCACCUUCAAGCAGUGCCCACCUCGGUUGGGCCCGUGGCCCUGUGCUUGAGUCCCCCCGUUUGCAUACCCUCCAAAGAGCAGGACUGCCUCAGCACUGAUUGCAACGCCUAAUAACACUUAUUACCAAGGCACUCUUUCUAUGUCUGAAUUAAAUCCUUCAUCCUGCAUUUAGUGCAUCUCCUUUUGUUCUGCCCUGAAUAAAGAUUGAGAACAGCUGGUCAGCAGUCCCUGCAGAGUAACUCUUCAGACACUUGAAAGCUAUUAUUAAGUUCCCUCAGAGUCUCCUCUUCUCUAGACAGAUACUGGAGCUUUCUCCCACUUAGUUUCUCCACUCACCUUUUUCUUUCUGCCUUUAGGUCCUUCUCCAGCUGCUUGCUUGAAGCCACCUGGAAUUCUAACUGAACAUUUUCCUAAUGGUGUUGUUACUAGGAAAUGAUGGCAGGGGAUUUUGUUUCUCUUUCAGUCAUCAUUUUCUGGUGGGCUUGGUCUUUAAUUAUACUAGAAUCUCAUUUGUUGGCUUCAAUUAACUGAAGCAUCCCCCCAAUAUUUAAGUAUUUUGUGUCUACAGAGGACUUGUUAGUAAAGUUGAGUGUGUGUGUGUGAGUGUGUAUAUAUGCAAAUAUGUAUGUUUUUUCUCUGUUUUUCAUUCUCUUUUUCCUAAAUAUUAUUAUCUUGAUAAAAUGUGUGCUUCCAUUUAAAAUGUGGUUUCAAGCCACAUUUCCUUCUAAAUUAGGCAUGGAAUAUUUGUGUGUGUGUAUGUGUUGUGUGUGUGUGGUGUGGUGUGUGCACAUGCAUGUGCACAUGUGAGUGUAGCAUGCAAGUGUAUAUGUGUAUGUGUAAACUAUUUCUGAUUUAUUUGCAGUAGCUACCCAGAAUUCAAUGGUGGGAAGGAUGCUGAAACUCUGUGUAGUUAAGCAGGGAAGAAUAAUGCUGAAAUGCAUGUUUACAGCUAUGACGGCAUUAUUGCCAGGUUGUAGGUGCCAAAUAAGUGGCUGAAAAUAACAAAAUAAGUAAUUAUAUUUUUCCCUUCCCUCUCCAUAUAUAUAUACGUAUAUGUACAUACAUAUAUAUACAUACAUACAUAUAUAUACACACACACACACACACACACAUAUAUAUAUAUAUAUAUAUUUUUUUUUUUUUUUUUUUUUAGAAAACAGUCCUUUUAUUGAUCUACCCAUGGGGAGCAUCAUCAAUUAACUUCUCGCUUAGUCUGACUCACUAUAUCCCAUACAUUUUGGUGUCUCCCUCACCUUCAUCCCCUAUAUUCUGAUGGGUCACCAGUAGUCUCGGGAAGCAUCUCCAAUCUCACUUUCCUAUCACAUCUUGGGAAUUUAUUGACCCACUCUUGGAUUACUCCAACAGCCCUAUAACUAGCCUGCUUUCCUCUUUUCACACUCUUGGCCAUGGAACUAACACUCAAGGUGGAUACGUUAUUCAUGGCAACCCCUUGCUCAAGAAGAGUUAGUGGCUCAGUAUCACUUAAUGUAACCCAUCUAAAUGCUUCUUUUGUACUGGCUUCCAGGUUGUUCCCAAGUAGAUAUCAUCCAACAUAUUUAUCUUAGUUUCCCACCACUUUCCGGGAACGCUUUUGUUUCAGAUUUUUUAUUUUUUAUUUUUUUUUAUUUUUUUAUUUUUUUCAACGUUUUUAUUUUUAUUUUUGGGACAGAGAGAGACGGAGCAUGAACGGGGGAGGGGCAGAGAGAGGGGGAGACACAGAAUCGGAAACAGGCUCCAGGCUCCGAGCCAUCAGCCCAGAGCCCGACGCGGGGCUCGAACUCACGGACCGCGAGAUCGUGACCUGGCUGAAGUCGGACGCUUAACCGACUGCGCCACCCAGGCGCCCCUCAGAUUUUUUAAAGUACACUUUGCAUAUUCAAAGAAUUUUUACCACCUCACCUUGAAUCUCUUCCCCUCUUUUCAGCCAUUUCAAUCUUCCCAUUGUAUGAGACCCAUCAUCCAUGAAGCUUUUCUAAAUGUAGAUUUCCAGUCCUUACUGAUGUUUUCUUUCUCUAACCUCCUACCACGAUUGUAUUUUGUCAGUUAGCCCAAUUAUGGAUGGUUUGUGUGCCUCGCUAAUUGUUCUGUGUGAACCAACUGGUCUUGUGUUUUCAGUUAGACUUUUAUUUUCUUCAGAGGAGAGAACAUACCUUCCCUUUUAUGUGUUUGUUUUACCCAUUUUUCUUUGUUUCAAUCUACCCCAUAGCAGCGCUAUGCUCUUAAAUAGUACUCCAAAAGUACCUAUUACAUGACCCUCCAUGUAAACAGUCUGACUGCUUUUCACAAUGAGUAGAUAGAUUUAAAAAAAAUAAUAAUUUGAUCAGUCUUUAUGGCUUGGAUAGAUAGAUUAAUAUUUCAGAAAGUAUAGUUACUAGUGACAUUAGUAAAGAAAAAUGUAUUUGGGGAUCACACAUAGUUAAUAGAUGAUUCUCUUUGGGGGAAGAAUAAAAGUGAUUUCAUUUUGACAGAGCUCAAAGUAUUAUUAAUUACACAGAUGCUAAUAUGGUAUUGAGGGAUAGCUUAGAAAGGCAUUGAAAUGCAAUUUCUCACCUGCUUGCAUCGACAGUGAUGAGAUGUUCACUACAAAAUUUCUCUACUCUGGCACAGUAAACAGGUUAAAAAUUGCAGGAAAAAUCCAAAAGCAGAAAAAAAAAUUCUUAAUCCGUCAUUAUUAAAUGAUAUUCAGUAGCAUAGUCAAGAAAAACCAAAAAGGAACCUGCCAGAUCUGGUGUAUGUCUGAUGUUUCGGUGGGGGUAUGCUUCAGCCAAAGAAGAUUUUAGAAACCCAGAAAAGACCCCAGAGAACCUCAGCAUGGCUGUCGUUCUGUCCCCCGUAUGCCUGUGGAGCUGCCUGAAAGUCACCUGAGAGGCAAAGAGGAACCAUGCCAUGGACUGGCAUUUCUGAUCCACAGCAUAGUGGCUUAAUUGAUUUAUACUUUAUUCUUUUCAAAAGACAGCUGAAUGUCACAGGCCCUUCUUUUGUGUAGUACUGGAAAACUGGUUGUCAAACAAUCUCUGCUCAUUUAAUAAUUUAUCCCCUUUUGUAAAAGAAAGGCAGCUGACAUGCAGUAAAUCUACUCCAUAUUUAAAUUACCACAUUGAACAAUAAUAAGGAGAAUGAAAAAUCUAGUCCAUUAUUUAAAAUUAAACAUAUAUGAAACUGUUUUUUUUUCCAAAUGAUCACCAAAGGCUAUAGUUUAAAGGCAGCACUGAAGCCCUGAGUGGAAUAAAAAUGCCUAACAGUAGUUUGCAAAUGGCAGCGGAAUUAUUUAUUCUAUUUUUUCUAUACAUAAGGAAUUGAGCUAAAUGAACAAUGUUUAAGCAUGUCAGAAUUUCAUCAAUUUUGCAUGAGCAUUCUCAAAUAUCCUGGUGGGGGUAAUUGCUUGCAAAUACAUUUAAACUAAUGAUAUGUUAUAUCCUUACUUGAUAUAAAACUAUUAAAAGAUACGUUAUUGCAUUUGACAAUGCCAUGCAGCUGGGUCAGAUCUUAAUGACAGAUUUCUGCAUUUGUGAAUUAAGAUAUACUCUGCUGGAAGCAAAUAUUUUGUAAAAAUAAAAGCUAUACACUAUGUAAGUUUGAUCAUUUGUCUAAAUUUUCCAUUUCUGUUUUUCGGGAGCUACAAGAGUUAAGAGAGGAGGUUUGUCCCUUUCCUAAAAUGGGGAAAGGAAUUCCAAACUAUAAUUGAACCUUCCUCAAACCCCAUUCCCCUCAGCAGGAGUGAACAGAACUCGUAAAAUCCACCAUGUGGUUUUAAAGGUCCACUUGCAGUGUGGUUUUGCACCCCUUGCAGGCUGAAAUGACUGACAGGCCCCAAACCAAUUAGAGAAAGUGGCCCUUCCCUCCCAUGAAAAAGACUUGCUUAUUUUUAAAGGGGAUUAAACUAGGCUGAGAGGGAACACUGGAUGGGAAAAAUAAUUCACAGAAAAAAAGUAUAUAAAAGUCUACUUGCAAAAUGGUGUUAUUAAGAGGAGGGUGUAACAAUUUGCUGCAAGGAUUCUUUGGUCCUUCACUUUCAGGAGAUACUGGCUUUUCUAUUUUUUAGUCUAUUCUUGGUUUUGCCCGAGGUGAGUAUACAGAGGGUCCAGCUUGUACCAGCUUGGGUUUUAUUUGCCUGGAUCUCACCCUAGGCUCUGUGAUCAAAACCCUAGUGUGGUUUCCCUUCUUGACAGUGGGCUAAAAUGCAUAUUAAUUUGUCUCCAGUGCCGGGAUUUGUGACUCCAAGAUAGAUUGUGAGGCAGGCGUUAAUGCUCAUACGUGAUUGCGGAACUUGGGGAGCUAGCUUGGCAUCCCACUGGAAGUCAGAUGAUGUUAUGAUUACAAGGGAAGUAUUGAUAUACUUCCCUAAUUGUUUCUUAGGACUUUGGGUUCUAUUUAUGAUGUCAUUACAAAGCUAUGCAUUAUCUGCAUAAUCGCCAAGGAAAAGACUCUCAUGAAGGAAAAUGCAUCCCACUGAGAUAAUGCCGCGAGCUACUGCUAUACAUCCAGCGGCAUAUGUAUGGUGUUGAAAUAAUAAGACAGCAUGGAAUAAUGAUGAAU